UGGGGAAUAUUGGACAAUGGGGGGAACCCUGAUCCAGCCAUGUCGCGUGUGUGAAGAAGGCCUUAUGGUUGUAAAGCACUUUAAGCGAGGAGGAGGGUACUGGUAUUAAUACUACCAGCUACUGGACGUUACUCGCAGAAUAAGCACCGGCUAACUCUGUGCCAGCAGCCGCGGUAAUACAGAGGGUGCGAGCGUUAAUCGGAUUUACUGGGCGUAAAGCGUGCGUAGGCGGCUAAUUGAGUCGGAUGUGAAAUCCCCGAGCUUAACUUGGGAAUUGCAUUCGAUACUGGUUAGCUAGAGUGUGGGAGAGGAUGGUAGAAUUCCAGGUGUAGCGGUGAAAUGCGUAGAGAUCUGGAGGAAUACCGAUGGCGAAGGCAGCCAUCUGGCCUAACACUGACGCUGAGGUACGAAAGCAUGGGGAGCAAACAGG
rnacentral:rRNA from 1 species